GUCAUACCACGCUAAAUACACAGGUUCUCGUCCGAUAACCGAAGUUAGGCAGCGUUGGGCGCAGUCAGUAAUUGGAUAAGUGACCGUCUGGAAACACCGCGUGAUGU